rfam:Pongo abelii chromosome 12.
GCCGGGCGUGGUGCCGCAUGCCUGUAAUCCCAGCUACUUGGGAGGCUGAGGCAGGAGAAUCACUUGAACCCAGGAGGCAGAGGGUGCAGUGAGCUGAGACUGUGCCACUGCACUCCAGCCUGGGUAACAGAGCGAGACUCCAUCUCAA